rnacentral:rRNA from 1 species
UACAGAGGUCUCAAGCGUUGUUCGGAUUCAUUGGGCGUAAAGGGUGCGUAGGCGGCGCGGUAAGUCGGGUGUGAAAUCUCGGAGCUUAACUCCGAAACUGCAUUCGAUACUGCCGUGCUUGAGGACUGGAGAGGAGACUGGAAUUUACGGUGUAGCGGUGAAAUGCGUAGAUAUCGUAAGGAAGACCAGUGGCGAAGGCGGGUCUCUGGACAGUUCCUGACGCUGAGGCACGAAGGCCAGGGGAGCAAACGGGAUUAGAGUACCCU